UGGGGGAUAUUGCACAAUGGGCGAAAGCCUGAUGCAGCGACGCCGCGUGGGGGAUGAAGGCUUUCGGGUUGUAAACCUCUUUCGCUAUCGAACAAGGCCCGCUUAGGGUGGGUUGAGGGUAGGUGGAGAAGAAGCGCCGGCUAACUACGUGCCAGCAGCCGCGGUAAUACGUAGGGCGCGAGCGUUGUCCGGAAUUAUUGGGCGUAAAGGGCUUGUAGGCGGCUUGUUGCGCCUGCUGUGAAAACGCGGGGCUUAACUUCGCGCGUGCAGUGGGUACGGGCAGGCUUGAGUGUGGUAGGGGUGACUGGAAUUCCAGGUGUAGCGGUGGAAUGCGUAGAGAUGUGGAGGAAUACCGGUGGCGAAGGCGGCCCCCUGGACAAAGACUGACGCUCAGGUGCGAAAGCGUGGGGAGCAAACAGG
rnacentral:rRNA from 1 species